GUUCUGCUUUCAGCAGCUACUUUUCUGGUUUGAAGGGGGGAAGGAAAAAAAAACUGGGGAGAACUAGGCGGCUUUCUGAUCAGAGUUCAGAUAAAAAGGGUCACAGUAAUUUGUGGGCACUGACUAAAAUAACCCAAUGGAUUUGAGAGUUACCGCAAAAGAAGCAAACAGACAAACUAAAGAGAACUUGAACUUGGGUACUGACAAAUGAAGAUGAUGAACUUAUGUUUUUUACCUUCUUACCGUGUAUAACUCCUACUUGAAGAGUGUGAGAGAAUAUUUACUACUCGGAUGUUUGAGACAUACCAAAAAAUGCUUUUUGAUCCUUUAUCAAGAAGACGUAAUGACCAAGAUUGAUAAAGAAAAAUGCAAUGGUUACUUUACCUGCAACCAUCUCAAAGACGCUCUAAUGUCAUUUCAGAGGACUUCAGCCAUGAACUUGGUGAUGAGCCAGAGAAGGUAACUUUUCAUCCCCUACAAGACCUCCCAGAGGCCUUUAUUCUUCUUACAGCGAUUCUGCUGUGAAUUCGUACGGAAUGGGCUCCAGCAGCUCAGGCUACUUUCCACUGGGUCUCACAAAGUGUGCUUCUCGAAGCAGGCUGGGGCUUCCCUUGAACCCAGAUUCCCACUUAUGUACCUAAAGGAGCAACUCCAUGUUUUCCAAAAGGCCUGAAAAACAUAUAGCAGAUUCCAUGUUGCAGCUAACCUUAAAGAAAUCAUCACUUGGAACUGAUUCAGAAUCCCAUAUCACAUUUUGUUAUUACUUUUGCCUGGUCUCCUGCUGUCUGGAACAGUUUUUCAGUCUUCCUUCAUUUUCAAGAGUGUGAAAGGAUCCCAAGACCAAAAGUCUGGGAACUGCUGGUUUAGAGUCACAAUACUGACUGCUCAAAAUGACUUUUUAAAGAAGAAAGCCUUAAAAACCCUUGAGUGAAUGGUUGGUAUUUACAGACAAGCAAAUGUAUGGAAGAGAAACGAGAGACCCAGCCUGAAUCUGUUGAAUGAACGAAAGGGGAAAUGCCCUAAGGAGUCAGAUGGAAGAAGUUUUUCUGGGAAGAGCAGAACACAGGAGUUGGGGUGCAGACCUCCUGGAUCACCAGCAGAAGGAAAAGAGCAGUGAGACGUUAAAGUGAUUGAGACAAAAAUGGAAGUAAAACAGCUUAAGGCUUUCUGAGAUCGAGUUCCUGGCAGUGUCAUCAGCAGAUGGUUUCUUCUGAAGUUCAGGGGAAGAGAAGAUGCUCGAAGAACUCUCCAGGGACUGAGUGGGUGGUACAGAGCUAGUGCUGUAGAUGCCAUGUAUACAGGCAAAUUCCCCAAUGAGUGUUUUCCAAUAUCAAGUUUAACUGGCAUUUAAGAUAUAUGCCAAAGGUAGGUAAAUUAUUUUGGCCUGUGCUUAUAGGUUUAUUUCCCUGGAUGAAGCUUUCUGUCUCUGUCCUAGUGCACUGUAGCAGAUGCAGGGUCUUUCCAUACAAUACAUUAAAAGCUGCAUCUCAUUUUAAAUAUAUUAUAGAAACCCUGAUCAUACAAUACAUACAAGAUUUUUAAGAUCAGCCUUCAGUCGAUUUUUUUGCUUUAUUUUUGUUCUGGAGGUCAAAAUGAGUGGUUAACUGUCUAAGUUGAUUGCAGAGAAAGUUACUACUCAUUCUAAACGUAGGUUUUUAGAAAAGUGUUCUUGGCAGUUGCUACCAUUGGCUUUUUCCAACUUACAUGGGAAUCAAGAUUCAGAACUGGUACACCAAUGGGAAGAGCCUGGAAAAUAGACUAUUGAUCAAGAUGAAUCUGGUCCAGAUACUUUAAGACCUUUUCAGUGUGUUUUUAAGAUUAUAAGUUUGAACUAACAGAAACUUCAAUGCUGUUUUUUCACAAGUCAAUGUGUAGUGUACUGUUAUUCUUUUUUUUCCUGUAAUAUCUUAAUAAUAUUCCUGGCUGUAAGAAAAAGUUAACACUAUACCUAUGUUUUGACUUACUUUAUAGAAGACCCAAACAAUAUUUAACAAAAGGAUUUUUCUCAAAUACUAUUUUGAAAUCACUAUAUUAGACACUAUCUUAAAUUUAUUUCUCAAUUUGCUUCUUUUUGAAACUUCCACAUUUUGGUGUUCUUUUCAGCAUCACUCAUUUUCUUUCAUAAUAAAGAUACCCAAUAACAAUAUCAUAAUAAAGAUUUGAUAACAAAUCUCCAGUUUUGGAGUGUUACAUUUCAUAUCUACAUGCUUACAGAGAAUUUAGUAUGAAUAUUCCCUGGCCUUAGUUCCUCUAAGCCUAGGAUACUUGUAGUCAUUUGGCAAAUAAUUUAAUCCAUGGCAAACAUGAGUCUUAAUACAAAAAUUAUUGAGUAGGCAAAAAAUAAUUGAACAUAUUUUGGACUGAUUACCAGUGCAUUAAAAAAGUAGAGGUUUAAGGAUGAGAAUAAUAAGUUUUUUUGUUUUUACUUAAAUUUAUAUAAAAGGAGUGAAAAUACAGUAGCCUAUAGUACUUAAGAGUGUGGGUAUAUUUUCAGCACUUAAUAAUUACUAGUUGAAUUGCAUAAUAUGGGACUAUAACUGAUAUGGUUUGGCUCUGUGUCCCCGCCCAAAUCUCAUGUUGAAUUAUAAUUUCCAAUAUUGGAGGAGGUACCUAGUGGGAGGUGACUGGAUCAUUGGGGGAAAUUUCCCCCUUGCUGUCCUCAUGAUAGUGAGUGAGUUCUCACAAGAUCUGAUGGUUUAAAAGUGUGUGGCAUUUCCCCCUUUACUCUUUCUCUCUCCUGCUGGCCAUGAGAAUAAGUGCUUGCUUCCCAUUCACCUUCUGCCAUGCUUGUGUUUCCUGAGGCUUCCCAGCCAUGCUUCUUGUUCAAGCUGCAGAACUGUGAGUCAAUUAAACCUCAUUUCUUCAUAAAUUACCCAGUCUCAGCUCUUUAUGGGAGUGUGAGAAUGGACUAAUAAAAUAUCUCUAGAAUUAUGUUUUUGGAGAUAAUUUAAAGAUAAACAAAUAUUGGAAACCUCAUUUGAUCACACAGAGAACAGUAAAUGGAAGUUCUACUUUUUCUCCAGGGCCUUUCUCAUGCUUAUGCAGGGAUUAUUCACCCAGAUAUCCUGAAAUAAGACAUCCAAUUAAGGUACCUGCUAUCUCAUGUAACACAGAAGAAAGUUGAGCAUAGAGGUUAAACAUUACCUAAUAUUGUUGGAAAAGCUUCGAAGCGUUCAUUUUCAAAGCAGCUAAUGUAAACCAUGAUAAUCACUAGUAGCACUAUGCCAUUUUAAAUACUUCAAUAUUUUGUAGUUAUUAGAUUCUAAGUAAGUAUAAAAUGUAGUGAAUACAAAUUUUAUUUGCCUAAACAGUGUUAGACAAUAUAAAUUAACGAGUUAUUUUUUAUUCUGUUUAAUAUUUUCAAGCCAAUAAACACUUUACUAAAGUA
rnacentral:lncRNA from 1 species